CUCGGUUUAAGUUUCCUGACCUUUCGAGAAAUCCUCCCUCGUUACAAAAGCAAUUGCACCGGCACGCGAUAUUACGGUCAACUCUUAAACCUCUUUCUGUCUUAUUUCCUCGAAAAUCAUACCACCGCCGUAGUUACCUUCGAACAGUUAAACCACCAGCGACGCAACUGCAAACCACCAAUUGAUGAGGUUUUUGUUUCUUGGAUUUUCCUCAAAUGGCUAGUAUUCAUGAUACGCCAUCUUUUCACAUGCCUGGUAUUCAUCGUAUCCCGGAAAUGUUCCCGGAGGAGGAGGAGAUGCAAAUAAGGAGAAACCUUAAACUUAGAGACACAUUAAUUAGCAAAAAACUUGAUCUUCUAGAAAAAGCUGCCAAAGCUGCAGGACGCCCGUUCAAAAGGUAAUUAAAUUCAUUGCAUUUUUGUAUUGUUGUUUAUUAAACUCCAGUAGUUUCUGUUGAUGCAAUUGCAAACAAAAUUAAAGGAUAUGAUUGGCUCCUUGACUCUGCAAGAGAGAUGAGACAAUGUGUAUGAAGAUGCAUGUUCAAGAUUCAUCUGCAGUUUCCUUACGAGAAGUAGUUGUGCUUCAACCUUCCCUCAUUCGGGACAACUCAGUGUGCUCUCUCUUCUUUUUCAUGUCCUCUUCAAACUCGGUUGUAGUGAUUUAUGGUGAUGCCACAUUGAAAGUUUGCUGUAUUUCAACAUUGAUCAAGGGUUUUGGAAACCUGCUGCAGACUUUGUUUGUAUUGGUGUAUAUAAUGUUUGUUCAUUAUGCAAUUUCAUGUUGUUUUCAUCUAUCCAUUGUGGGUAUUAUUAGUUUAACUGUGGAUGUAGAACAUGAGAGUUCUCUAGGUUAACUGCGCUCGAAAUUGGAAUCUAAGAGUUCACUUGGUUAA